UCCGCGGUAGCUCAUCUGGUAGAGCAUUUGCCUCGUUAGUUAGUGGAAUAUCGCCGGUUCCAUUCCGGCUCGCGGCA
rnacentral:tRNA from 1 species